UGUCGCUGGCAUGUCCACAUUUGCAUUAAAUCCGAGGCGCGUUUGUCGUUGCCAGUUGUUUCCGUGUGGUAGUGAGUGCGACUCGCCUUAGCUGGAGAAACGCGUGCCCGUGUGAGAUCACGCGGGUUUUCGCAGCCAAUCGGGUUGUUAUCAGUUGCUUGUUUGUUUACAUUCGCAUACCUGCGUGCCGUGUGAACUAAAGUGCUACGUUAAACUUGUGUUAAGUGCGAUGCAUUCUGGCAGUCUCAUCUUGUUAUCCGCCGUUGUCGGGUUUCGUGUGUACUCUGCACGCUUUGCAGAUAUCUCAUAUCCACUGUAUGAGUUCCGGAGUGGUCGGCUACCUUGAACGUAUUUUUCUCAAGUCUCUAAGUUUCAUGAAAAUAAUUCGGGUUUUAUUCGACUAUAAAUCAACGACAUUUAAUUGAAACAAAACUGUUUGGUGUUUCACCUACGUCCGGAUAUCCAUAAACCGCAAAAACUACGCAGGACAAGCAAGUCACCUUCAUUUAUCGUUGAUGACCGAAAAAUAACUGCGAGCGAACGCCAUGUAGUAGGACAAUCGUUCUUUCACCAAAUUAUAAGUAUGAAAAUUCUUUAUUAUUUUCAUAUAUAACUUGUGGGUUUAACUCUUGGGAAACCUACAAAAAUGUCCUUUUUGUGUUUUUCGGUCGGCUAAUUUAGUGGUUUUUGGUGUUUAGCGGGCGAACGCCAUGUUGUAGGACAACAGUUCUUUCACCAAAUUGUAGGUAUUAAAAUUCUUUAUAAUUUUCAUAUAUAACUUGUGAGUUUGACCCUCGGGAAACCUACAAAAAUGCCCUUUUUGUGUUUUUCGGUCGGCUAAUUUUGUGGUUUUUAGUAUUUAGAGGGCGAACGCAAUGUCGUAAGACAACAGUUUUUUCACCAAAUUGUAGGUAUUAAAAUUAUUUAUAAUUUUCAUAUAUAACUUGUGGGUUUAACCCUCGCGAAACCUACAAAAAUGCCCUUUUUGUGUUUUUCGGUCAGCCACUUUUGUGAUUUUUAGUAUUUAUUUAGUAUUUUGGUGUUUAGCGGGCGAACGGCCUGUCGUAGCACAACCGUUCUUUCACCAAAUUAUUGAUAUUCAAAUUCUGUUAUUCGAAAUUUUUUGUUUAAAUUUUUUUGGUCGAAAUACAGGGUCAAACUUUUUUACUUAAAACUUUUUGGUUGAAUUUUUUUGUUAAAACUUUUUCUGUCGAAUUUUUUUGUUAAAAUUUGUUUAGUCGAAAACAGGAUCGAAUUCGGGUUCAUACCAAUCGGAUUGUACAUAAUGUACAUACUCAGAGGUAAAGUGAUGUUCCGUCGGCCGUCGUAUUCUUUUUGUAUUUUACGCGUAUUUCAUCGGUUCUACAAUGUGCAUCAUUUAGGUCCAUACAACUUAUUGGAUAUACCAAAACGAAAAAAUUUAUUUUGCAUCAAGGUAUGUUUUCGCAUUUCUUCAGCCAUUUGAAAGUCAAAUCUAUUAUUGACUUUACUUCGUGAGUCUAUCUGCAUAGUUAUCAGUGGUGUCAGGGUAAGUUUGGAAUGAUUUUUCUAGAUGCAGAAUUUAAUUCUAUAUCUCCCUGUAUCGAAAUUUAUUGCGAUUUUCUCGCCGCGUAACUCCGUAACGCGAGUUAUAUUGAAAGUUGUGUGUGUGCGCCGUAGUACUCGUUGCCCUAGGAUUGUUGUUUUUUUAGUUUAACACGCGAACGCGGUAUCAGAGUAAGUUCGAAUUGAUUUGUUUUUAUUUUUAUAACACCUUGUAUAUUUGUUUCUUUUGGCAAUUACGUAGGAAAUCGGUCAUUCGUUAAUUUCUUAAUGCCAGUAGAACUUUAUGACGUGGUACUUGCUUAUAUGUGCGCGGCUAUGCAGGUCGUAAGUCCUGUUUCAAUAUCCCGUCCCGUGUUCCGGGUCAUGAUGUGAAUAUUGAUUAUCUUUUUAGUUUUGAAAGUUUACUGUUUGUAACACCCUGUAUAUUAGUUUUCUUAACAGCACGUAGGAAAUCACAAUUAGUUAUGAGUUUUGAAUGUUCUUUGUUUCGAACUUGGGAUUUUCUUUUUGGUACGCCCUGUAUAUUCGUUUUCCUUCGUGUCCGUGAAAAUUUUGCUUCAACUGUUGUUUUCAGUAUUUUUUUCUUUGUACUUCGAAUUUUCUUUCUGAAACACCCUGUACAUUUGUUUCCAUUUUCAGUCACCUAGAAAAUUGGCAGCUAUUUACUAAUUUAAUCCCGGCAAUACUUUAUGAAGUAGUACUUGCUGGCAUGUGCGCGGCUAUGCAGGUCGUAAGUCCUGUUUUAAUAUGGCGACAUGUAUUUUGUUGACUGGUAAAAUCUAAACUUGUAUUCUAUUGUUAAUAAAGAAAUAGUAAGA